rnacentral:rRNA from 1 species
AGUGAACGCUGGCGGUAGGCCUAACACAUGCAAGUCGAACGGCAGCACAGUAAGAGCUUGCUCUUACGGGUAGCGAGUGGCGGACGGGUGAGGAAUACAUCGGAAUCUACUUUUUCGUGGGGGAUAACGUAGGGAAACUUACGCUAAUACCGCAUACGACCUACGGGUGAAAGCAGGGGAUCUUCGGACCUUGCGCGAUUGAAUGAGCCGAUGUCGGAUUAGCUAGUUGGCGGGGUAAAGGCCCACCAAGGCGACGAUCCGUAGCUGGUCUGAGAGGAUGAUCAGCCACACUGGAACUGAGACACGGUCCAGACUCCUACGGGAGGCAGCAGUGGGGAAUAUUGGACAAUGGGCGCAAGCCUGAUCCAGCCAUACCGCGUGGGUGAAGAAGGCCUUCGGGUUGUAAAGCCCUUUUGUUGGGAAAGAAAAGCAGCAGGUUAAUACCCCGCUGUUCUGACGGUACCCAAAGAAUAGGCACCGGCUAACUUCGUG